UUAGAUGUUCGGAGCCGCACGCGCGCCACACUGAAGGAAUCAACGUGUGCUCUCCCCGUCCGGCAGGACCGGGUAACCCGUUGAACCUCCUUCGUGAUGGGGAUAGGGGCUUGCAAUUGUUCCCCUUGAACGAGGAAUUCCCAGUAAGCGCGAGUCAUUAGCUCGUGCUGAUUACGUCCCUGGCCUUUGUGCACACCGCCCGUCGCUACGAGCGAUUGAACGAUUUAGUGAGGUCUUCGGACGGGCGCUCGGACCGGCCCUCCGCGGACGGGUCGACGUGCCGGAAAGAUGACCGAACUUGACCGUUUAGAGCACGUAAAAGUCGUAACAAGGUUUCC
rnacentral:rRNA from 1 species